GGAAAGGCGCGCGAUACAGGGUGACAGCCCCGUACACAAAAAUGCACAUGCUGUGAGCUCGAUGAGUAGGGCGGGACACGUGGUAUCCUGUCUGAAUAUGGGGGGACCAUCCUCCAAGGCUAAAUACUCCUGACUGACCGAUAGUGAACCAGUACCGUGAGGGAAAGGCGAAAAGAACCCCGGCGAGGGGAGUGAAAAAGAACCUGAAACCGUGUACGUACAAGCAGUGGGAGCACGCUUAGGCGUGUGACUGCGUACCUUUUGUAUAAUGGGUCAGCGACUUAUAUUCUGUAGCAAGGUUAACCGAAUAGGGGAGCCGAAGGGAAACCGAGUCUUAACUGGGCGUUAAGUUGCAGGGUAUAGACCCGAAACCCGGUGAUCUAGCCAUGGGCAGGUUGAAGGUUGGGUAACACUAACUGGAGGACCGAACCGACUAAUGUUGAAAAAUUAGCGGAUGACUUGUGGCUGGGGGUGAAAGGCCAAUCAAACCGGGAGAUAGCUGGUUCUCCCCGAAAGCUAUUUAGGUAGCGCCUCGUGAAUUCAUCUCCGGGGGUAGAGCACUGUUUCGGCAAGGGGGUCAUCCCGACUUACCAACCCGAUGCAAACUGCGAAUACCGGAGAAUGUUAUCACGGGAGACACACGGCGGGUGCUAACGUCCGUCGUGAAGAGGGAAACAACCCAGACCGCCAGCUAAGGUCCCAAAGUCAUGGUUAAGUGGGAAACGAUGUGGGAAGGCCCAGACAGCCAGGAUGUUGGCUUAGAAGCAGCCAUCAUUUAAAGAAAGCGUAAUAGCUCACUGGUCGAGUCGGCCUGCGCGGAAGAUGUAACGGGGCUAAACCAUGCACCGAAGCUGCGGCAGCGACACUAUGUGUUGUUGGGUAGGGGAGCGUUCUGUAAGCCUGUGAAGGUGUGCUGUGAGGCAUGCUGGAGGUAUCAGAAGUGCGAAUGCUGACAUAAGUAACGAUAAAGCGGGUGAAAAGCCCGCUCGCCGGAAGACCAAGGGUUCCUGUCCAACGUUAAUCGGGGCAGGGUGAGUCGACCCCUAAGGCGAGGCCGAAAGGCGUAGUCGAUGGGAAACAGGUUAAUAUUCCUGUACUUGGUGUUACUGCGAAGGGGGGACGGAGAAGGCUAUGUUGGCCGGGCGACGGUUGUCCCGGUUUAAGCGUGUAGGCUGGUUUUCCAGGCAAAUCCGGAAAAUCAAGGCUGAGGCGUGAUGACGAGGCACUACGGUGCUGAAGCAACAAAUGCCCUGCUUCCAGGAAAAGCCUCUAAGCAUCAGGUAACAUCAAAUCGUACCCCAAACCGACACAGGUGGUCAGGUAGAGAAUACCAAGGCGCUUGAGAGAACUCGGGUGAAGGAACUAGGCAAAAUGGUGCCGUAACUUCGGGAGAA
rnacentral:rRNA from 1 species